rnacentral:rRNA from 1 species
CAUCGAGUCUUUGACGCAAGUUGCGCCCAAAGCCAUUAGGCCGAGGGCACGCCUGCCUGGGUGUCACACAUCGUCAUCCCCAUGCAAAUGCGCAUUGGGGUGAAAGUUGGCCUCCCGCGAAACAUUUGUUGUGGUUGGUCGAAAACCAAGGUAAUGUCGGGGUCCCCCCGCGAGAAACGGUGGAUGAGCAACGCUCGAGACCAACGGCGGUGGCGGACACUCGGUACACCAAUUGGUGGGCCCUAUUGUGUUUUUGGAAAAAAUCAAAGACGCUCAUAAAGAGACCUCAGGUCAGGCGGGGCUACCCGCUGAGUUUAAGCAUAUCAAUAAGCGGAGGAAAAGAAACUAACAAGGAUUCCCUUAGUAACGGCGAGCGAACCGGGAACAGCCCACCAUGAGAAUCGGUCGCCUCUGGCGUUCGAAUUGUAGUCUG